GAAAUGCGAUAAGUAAUGUGAAUUGCAGAAUUCAGUGAAUCAUCGAAUCUUUGAACGCACAUUGCGCCCGCCAGUAUUCUGGCGGGCAUGCCUGUCCGAGCGUCAUUUCAACCAUCAAGCCCCCGGGCUUGUGUUGGGGACCUGUGGCUGCCCACAGGCCCUGAAAACCAGUGGCGGGCUCGCUGUCACACCGAGCGUAGUAGCAAUCACCUCGCUCAGGGCGUGCUGCGGGUUCCGGCCGUUAAACAGCCUUACAAAACCCAAGGUUGACCUCGGAUCAGGUAGGAAGACCCGCUGAACUUAAGC
rnacentral:misc_RNA from 1 species